GCCUUCGUGGUGUAGUGGUCAGCACACUGAGGUCGUAUUCCGAAGGUCCGCGGUUCGACUCCCGGCGAAGGCG
rnacentral:tRNA from 1 species